CCUACGGGGGGCUGCAGUGGGGAAUAUUGCACAAUGGGGGAAACCCUGAUGCAGCAACGCCGCGUGAGCGAAGAAGGCCUUCGGGUCGUAAAGCUCUGUCCUAAGGGAAGAAAAUUGACGGUACCUUAGGAGGAAGCCCCGGCUAACUACGUGCCAGCAGCCGCGGUACUACGUAGGGGGUGAGCGUUAUCCGGAAUCACUGGGCGUAAAGGGUGCGUAGGCGGCUAAGUAAGCCAGGGGUGAAGGACUACGGCUCAACCGUAGUAAGCCUUUGGAACUACUUAGCUUGAGUGCAGGAGAGGAGAGUGGAAUUCCUAGUGUAGCGGUUGAAUGCGUAGAUAUUAGGAGAAACACCAGUGGCGAAGGCGACUCUCUGGACUGUAAAUGACGCUGAGGCACGAAAGCGUGGGGAGCAAACAGGAUUAGAUACCCUUGUAGUC
rnacentral:rRNA from 1 species